GGAGCCUUCAGCUGUUUCUAUCAGGAAGAAUACACAAAAAAACCCUAGACAAUAGGUCACCUCUUCUUCUUCGACCAAUAUACGCAACAACAAACCCUAGAGAGACCAAGACAACAACCACCCUCCCAACCGGACGAACACCCCAAAAAACACACACAGUCGCCUCUGACGCUCACUGCCACCCGCCAGCUUCUCUCCAACCAACGACCCCGAUCUCCAUCAGUGAUCACCACGCCGACGACCCCAAUCUUCCUUGAUUUUAAAGAACCAGCGACAAACAUACAGUAAACAGAAGAAGACGGAGGAACGGAGAAACCCAAGAAUGAGUUCCAAAAACGCAGCCAUGAAUCUCCAUCUUGUUUUACCAUUUUUCUUCCAUAUAUAAAAUCAUAGCAUUAUGUGUCUCUGAAAAAUAAUUUCAAAAUCAGAUUCGAAAAUCAUGAUUCAUACGGAUCUAAAAUUUAGUGAAAGUAGGCAAGUUUAAUUUGGUUUCACUCUUUGAACCGCUGUUUCGAGGCUUCUUAAUUUGUGGUUUGUUCGAGGGUUCCGGUCAGCAAGCUUGGUCGGAGUUCGAGGUUGCCGACGAGGAUUUUUGGUCAAGCUCUAGUCUCGAUUCGCGUUCUGGCACUGCCAAUGUAAUCAGAAAAGCUAUCAUUUUGAGGUAUGGAUCCAUGUACCAGGACUCGAGCAUGAUAGAUACCCCUGGACCACAGAGCUGCUUGAGGAGCCUUUUUAUGUUUUUGAGUCUAUUGUUCAUAUUUUACUUUCUAGUCUUGUGCAAUAGUAUUCAGUCAUUUAGUUGGUGUUAGAGUUGUCGUAGUAUAGUUUAGUUUGCCGAGUCUCUCAUUAUCGUACCUCUUGUUUUGUAUUUGAAAAACCAAAAAAAAGUUAUAAAUGGAAAAUCCAAAAAGAUUUUUGUUUCUUA